rnacentral:tRNA from 3 species
GGCGGCAUGGCCAAGCGGUAAGGCAGAGGAUUGCAAAUUCUCCAUCCCCGGUUCGAAUCCGGGUGUCGCCUGAC